ensembl:snRNA U6 U6 spliceosomal RNA
GUGCUCACUUCAGCAGCACAUACACUAAAAUUGGAACAAUACAGAGAUUAGCUUGGCCCCUGUGCAAGGAUGACACGUGAAUUCGUGAAGCAUUCUUUGUUUUU